ensembl:lncRNA
AUACUGGGCUGGAAACAUUUUUAGUUUAGGGAAUUCAGCCAGAGUGGUGCAAUGUUCUGUGUACCUCCAUCUGCUGCUGGGACUCCGCUUGUUUAGAGAACUGCUUAAUGGAGACUGGAAAUUGAAAGAUGCAGCGUUCAGCCCUAAACAGAUGGGAACCUGUCAGCACAACGUGGAGAUAAUCAUCCGUUCGAGCCAUGGGAAGCUUCGUGGCUGAGAGGAAGUUAUUGCAGCCAACACAGCUCUGCUUUAUCGUCUCACCAGCUUCCUUGGGCAGAGCAUAUUGGGGGGGUUUAAAGGAAGGUGAAUUCCCAAUGGAUUUUUUGGGGUUAUGCAAACAGCCGCCUUCUGAGAUGGGCACACGUGUGAUGCUCACCUAAGCAAGCAGUGCUUUUCCCCUUGGAAACACCCCCUGAGCAUCUCAGUGAAGGGAGCCCAAAGCUGGAGGUGGGAUUACUCCCAGGUGAGGGAUUUUUAGGGUGAUUUGCAUUUAUGGGGUCAUUUGGUGCUGGGGCAGAGAUCGGAGCACUAAACCCGAC